AUACGGAGGAUGCAAGCGUUAUCCGGAUUUAUUGGGUUUAAAGGGUGCGUAGGCUGACGUGUAAGUCAGAGGUGAAAUCUCCGGGCUCAACCUGGGAACUGCCUUUGAUACUGCAUGUCUGGAGUUCGGAUGCCGUGGGAGGAAUGGGCAGUGUAGCGGUGAAAUGCAUAGAUAUUGCCCAGAACACCGAUUGCGAAGGCAUCUCACGAAUCCGACACUGACGCUGAGGCACGAAAGCGUGGGGAUCAAACAGGAUUAGAUACCCUGGUAGUCCACGCAGUAAACGAUGAUAACUAACCGUCGGCGAUAGACAGUCGGUGGCCAAGCGAAAGCGAUAAGUUAUCCACCUGGGGAGUACGUCGGCAACGAUGAAACUCAAAUGAAUUGACGGGG
rnacentral:rRNA from 1 species